GGCGGACGGGUGAGUAAUGUCUGGGAAACUGCCUGAUGGAGGGGGAUAACUACUGGAAACGGUAGCUAAUACCGCAUAACGUCGCAAGACCAAAGAGGGGGACCUUCGGGCCUCUUGCCAUCAGAUGUGCCCAGAUGGGAUUAGCUAGUAGGUGGGGUAACGGCUCACCUAGGCGACGAUCCCUAGCUGGUCUGAGAGGAUGACCAGCCACACUGGAACUGAGACACGGUCCAGACUCCUACGGGAGGCAGCAGUGGGGAAUAUUGCACAAUGGGCGCAAGCCUGAUGCAGCCAUGCCGCGUGUAUGAAGAAGGCCUUCGGGUUGUAAAGUACUUUCAGCGGGGAGGAAGGUGUUGUGGUUAAUAACCUUGUCGAUUGACGUUACCCGCAGAAGAAGCACCGGCUAACUCCGUGCCAGCAGCCGCGGUAAUACGGAGGGUGCAAGCGUUAAUCGGAAUUACUGGGCGUAAAGCGCACGCAGGCGGUCUGUCAAGUCGGAUGUGAAAUCCCCGGGCUCAACCUGGGAACUGCAUUCGAAACUGGCAGGCUAGAGUCUUGUAGAGGGGGG
rnacentral:rRNA from 1 species